GCGGAAGUAGCUCAGCGGUAGAGCAUCGCCUUGCCAAGGCGAGGGUUGCGGGUUCAAAUCCCGUCUUCCGCUCCA
rnacentral:tRNA from 1 species